rnacentral:misc_RNA from 1 species
GGAUCACACAAUUUCCCUUCGCGUCAAAGUUAGAAAGGUGCAAAUAGCUCUCAGUCUGCUCUUCAACUGCCCUAAGCAAUUGACUUUACUACUCUUUCUCUAACGUCUGGUCUUAAUUUAUUAUCGUCCUUCUCUGUCUUUCACAGUAUAUUUUCCCCCUUGUAAUUCAAUAUUUGUUUCAUCGGUGGAAAAUAUGGCGACAGAUCCUGAGCAGCCCUCUGUCUCUUCUAUCGAAAAGGUAGGAAAGUCUUCAGGUGAAAUUGGUGGUGCAGAGGAGCCUCUUCUUAAUGGGGGCACUAGCUCAGAGAACUAUUCAGUUCUUGCUGCAAUUCUCCCAUUUCUAUUUCCGGCUCUUGGAGGACUAUUAUAUGGUUAUGAUAUUGGUGCCACAUCUUGUGCUACAAUAUCUAUAGAGUCAGCCACAACAAGUGGAAUUUCAUGGUACAACUUGAAUUCUGUGGAAAUUGGGCUCAUUACCAGUGGCUCAUUAUAUGGGGCAUUGAUUGGCUCUGUCUUGGCCUUUAAUAUUGCAGAUUUUCUAGGAAGAAGAAGGGAGUUGAUUCUGGCUGCUUUGUUAUAUCUUGUUGGAGCACUUGUGACAGCAUUAGCACCUGAUUUGGUUAUCAUGGUGAUUGGACGUUUUAUAUUUGGUAUUGGAAUAGGAUUGGCAAUGCAUGCUGCGCCAAUGUACAUUGCUGAGACAGCUCCAAGUAAGAUACGUGGUCGACUAAUCUCUCUCAAAGAGUUCUUUAUAGUCCUUGGGAUGGUUGCAGGUUAUGGAAUUGGAAGCCUUUUGGUUGAUACUGUAGCUGGUUGGAGAUACAUGUACGGAGCUAGUACUCCUUUGGCAGUGAUCAUGGGAAUUGGGAUGUGGUGGUUGCCACCAUCACCUAGAUGGAUACUAUUAUCCGCCAUACAGGGCAAAGGCAAUUUGCAGGAAUUAAAAGAAACUGCAGUAUGUUGCUUAUGCCGACUCAGGGGUGAGGCUAUUGGUGACAGUGCACCUGCCCAAGUAGAAGAAAUUCUUAGCGAGCUGACUUUUGUUGGUGAAGAAAAAGAAGCUUCACUGGGGGAAAUGUUCCGAGGAAAAUGCUUGAAAGCCCUCACCAUUGGUGCAGGAUUAGUUCUUUUCCAACAGGUAUCUUUGUUAUCAGAAAUGAUAAGACAUAAUACUGAAUUUGCAACAUUUUGGAUUGUAAAUGGUCUACUUUCAUGACAGAUCACAGGGCAACCAAGUGUACUAUAUUACGCAGCCUCAAUCUUUCAAGUAUGUAGCUAGUAUUAAUUAUAAAUAGGCUACUAGAUGAUUAUCAACGUGAUAUCAUCUUCAUGAGUGUUUAGAAGUAGUGCUCUUUCAUCCUAAUCCAAUAUGAUCUGGUAGAGUGCAGGAUUUUCUGCAGCAUCUGAUGCAACACGUGUUUCAAUUCUACUUGGUUUGUUGAAGUUGAUCAUGACAGGAACAGCUGUUCUUGUUGUUGAUAGACUUGGACGGAGACCUUUACUGCUUGGUGGUGUCUCUGGGAUGGUCAUCUCUUUAUUCCUUCUGGGGUCAUAUUAUCUUUUCCUGGAUGAUGUACCGUUUGUGGCUGUAGUUGCACUGCUGUUGUAUGUUGGAUGUUAUCAGGUAAUCAAGAUUUUCUUGCCACUUAUUAACUACAUUUUUGUUCGAAAAUUUUGUGCUUCAAUGUGACUACUGUUUCUUAAGAUAUCUGUUUGAGUACUUGUGUUGAUCGGUCUGAUUUAGUAUUAGAUCUUGAGUUUACUUGUAUAUGCUGUACUUUGGUAUUAGAAAGAUACAACUGUCAUAAUCAAGAUGCCAUUGUAGGAAGAAAUUACUGCACAAUCAUACAGAGCUUCUAAUGAAUAACUUUCUUAAGCAGGCCCUUUAAACUUAUUAAGAAAGCAUCAACAUUACUAUGUUUGUAGCUCCAGAAUUUCCACUGUUAAGAAAAAUGACAAAUGCACAUAAUAAACGCAUAAGAACAAACUAAAGUGAAGAAACUAAGUUAAAUGAAGCUACUUCAUUAAAUGUUAUUUUAAAGUCUGGAUGUCAACACUAAAUGGCUUAAACAAAAGUAUCUUUUUCAAUCAAAAUUCAAUAACUCAUCAAAGUUCUACUUAGUCUAUUUCUUUGUUGUUGUUGGGCUUCUGCAAGAAAACUGGUUGGGAUACCAGUGUUAUCCACCUCAUAUUAUGUGAAUUCUUCAAUAUUGGAAUUAUAUGUCAUGAAAGCUUUCUACGUCAAUCGUCAGGGAAAAUGUUAGCCAUGUCAUUAGUCUUUGGUGAUUCUGUGAUGUACCCGAACCUGAAAUAGCAAAACCAAAUACUGGUAGACUGGUAGUAGAUAUUAAUGGGAUACUCGUGUAUGUCAAUUAUAUCAUGGCACCAGCUGGAUAUGGUGAGAUAAAGGGAGGACAAUUUACUACCUCUCUUCUUGUUGUGCAUUGUGUUUUCAAAUAUAUCUUCUACUUUUGCCAUCUGUAUUUUUGGGCUAAUGAAAUCAGUUUUGCAGUUAUCCUUUGGUCCUAUUGGUUGGCUGAUGAUUUCAGAGGUUUUCCCCUUACGCCUAAGAGGGAGAGGACUUAGUAUAGCAGUGCUUGUGAAUUUUGGUGCAAAUGCAAUCGUCACGUUUGCAUUUUCCCCUUUGAAGGCAUGGUUGGGAGCUGGAAUAUUAUUCUAUGCAUUCGGAGUAAUAGCCGUGUUGUCGCUCGUUUUCAUAUUCUUCAUUGUACCAGAGACCAAGGGGCUUACUCUCGAGGAAAUCGAGGCCAAAUGCUUGUAGACAAGCUUUGUACACAUAACCAGAGUGUGACUUCUAUGGAUUUUGAAUCAAAACAAGUAGGUUCUGUUGUGAGAAUUUCACUAAUAUAUGCAGAAGCAGGCAUGCUUUUUUUAGUCUAUGCAGUGUCACAGUAAAUAUUUGAUGUUUCUUUAUUGUCAACAAGAUUAGCAACAUCAUAUAUGCUCUUCUUUAUUAAUGUAGAUAACCCUACUUUUAUAUUUAUGUUCCUAAUUCUAUUGUUUUUCAUCCUAAAAAAUAUAUGGAUGGAUUUACGCGGGUGCGAGUGUCUGUUUGACAUUGUUAUUUGAGCUACUGUUAAAAAAAAU